CGCGUCAGAUGUGUAAAAGAGACAGGUGAGUCAUCGAAUCUUUGAACGCACAUUGCGCCCUUUGGUAUUCCGAGGGGCAUGCCUGUUCGAGCGUCAUUUAAAAACAUCAAGCGCGGCUUGGUCUUGGGUGGGGUCUCUGGACCCGCCUGUAACUGGUUGGCGGCACCGCCCGGCUUUAAGCGUAGCAAGUUUUACCCUCGCUUCGGAGCCUGUGUGGGGACUAGCCCAAGGUACCUCUAAAGUUUGACCUCGGAUCAGGUAGGGAUACCCGCUGAACUUAAGCAUAUCAAUAAGCGGAGG
rnacentral:misc_RNA from 1 species